UACGGGGGGGGGCAAGCGUUGUUCGGAAUUACUGGGCGUAAAGGGCUCGUAGGUGGCCAACUAAGUCAGACGUGAAAUCCCCUCGGCUUAACCGGGGAACUGCGUCUGAUACUGGAUGGCUUGAGUUUGGGAGAGGGACGCGGAAUUCCAGGUGUAGCGGUGAAAUGCGUAGAUAUCUGGAGGAACACCGGUGGCGAAGGCGGCGUCCUGGACCAACACUGACACUGAGGAGCGAAAGCCAGGGGAGCAAACGGG
rnacentral:rRNA from 1 species